GAGUUUGAUCCUGGCUCAGAUUGAACGCUGGCGGCAGGCCUAACACAUGCAAGUCGAACGGUAACAGGAAGAAGCUUGCUUCUUUGCUGACGAGUGGCGGACGGGUGAGUAAUUUCUGGGAAACUGCCUGAUGGAGGGGGAUAACUACUGGAAACGGUAGCUAAUACCGCAUAACGUCGCAAGACCAAAGAGGGGGACCUUCGGGCCUCUUGCCAUCGGAUGUGCCCAGAUGGGAUUAGCUUGUUGGUGGGGUAACGGCUCACCAAGGCGACGAUCCCUAGCUGGUCUGAGAGGAUGGCCAGCCACACUGGAACUGAGACACGGUCCAGACUCCUACGGGAGGCAGCAGUGGGGAAUAUUGCACAAUGGGCGCAAGCCUGAUGCAGCCAUGCCGCGUGUAUGAAGAAGGCCUUCGGGUUGUAAAGUACUUUCAGCGGGGAGGAAGGGAGUAAAGUUAAUACCUUUGCUCAUUGACGUUACCCGCAGAAGAAGCACCGGCUAA
rnacentral:rRNA from 1 species